UGCUAUAUUGACACUGUGGGUUUUACAGCAUUUUUUACUGUAAUUGUCUAGGUUUGCUACUAUGUCUGAGACUGCUCCUGCCGCGCCAGCUACUCCAGCUCCAGCAGAGAAGACACCUGUGAAGAAGAAGGCUAAGAAGCCAGCGGGUUCCGCAGGAGCACGGCGGAAGGCGUCUGGGCCCCCGGUGUCUGAGCUGAUCACCAAGGCCGUGGCCGCCUCCAAUGAACGCAGCGGCGUGUCUUUGGCCGCCCUCAAGAAGGCGCUGGCGGCCGCCGGCUACGAUGUGGAAAAGAACAACAGCCGCAUCAAGCUGGGGCUCAAAAGCUUGGUGAACAAAGGCACCCUAGUGCAGACCAAGGGGACCGGUGCCUCGGGCUCCUUCAAGCUCAACAAAAAAACUCCUGCGGGUGAAGGGAAAGGCAAGGCCAAGAAAUCGGCCUCUACAAAGGCGAAAAAAUCGGUGGGAGCUACCAAGAAGCCUAAAAAGACGACGGGGACGGCUACGAAAAAAGCGUUGAAGAAAACGCCUAAGAAAGCUAAGAAGCCAGCAGCGGCAGCAGGAGCUAAGAAGGCAGCAAAGAGUCCGAAAAAAGCCAAAGCUGCGAAGCCCAAGAAGGCGGCCAAAAGUCCUGCGAAGGCUAAAGCCGUGAAGCCCAAGGCAGCUAAGGCAAAAGUGACUAAACCUAAAACUGCCAAGCCCAAGAAGGCGGCGCCAAAAAAGAAGUAGGUCUCCGCGGGAACUUCCAAAAACCUCAAAGGCUCUUUUCAGAGCCACCCAUAGAUCUCAAUGAAAAGAGCUCAAUACGAUAUGAGUGUCGCAUCACUUCUCGAGAAUUCAGAUGGCCCUAUAGCUGUUACUGUCUGGGGAGUUCAUCAAGCACAUCAUGUUGGAGGGCAGUACCAAGUAUGCCAAUUCUCCUAUAGUGAUCCUUGUAUAAUGUAAAGGUUCUUUCAAAAUACACUCCUAUUCUGUUGUUUUAGUUACAUUGUAUAGCUAGUAUCAAAAUAAUUACUUUUCACCUAUUUUGUAUCCAAUUUAAGUGUAGCUCGCAAAAGUGAUUCAUAAUUUAUCAUAAUUCAUCAUUGAAUUUUCUUCUUCCUUCUCCUAAAACAUACAUGAAAGAUAUCCCAAAGAAUGCUUGCAUCAAUGGGAGUAUCCUGUAGCAAUUUAUGAACACUAGACUCAGAGCUCGACGACUGAGAUUCAAAACAUGUCUCUGUCAUUGACACCCUGUGUUCCCUUUGGCAAACUAAUUUCUCUGGGCUUCAUAUUUCCCCAUUUAAGUAAGGGGGUUCAACUAGAUGAUCUCUGAAGUCUCUUUCAUACCUAAGUCUAGGAUCCUGAAUUCAAUGGUUGAAAAUCAUCUCUGGUUUGAUUCAACAUUUGAAUGUGUUUCCCUGACUCAUUUUUGUUUGCUGCAUAACCUAAUAUCUGAAGAAAAAGAGGAAAGGCAAGGGUGAAAUAAAGAUAUUUUAAGGUCUGACCCUCUGACAUGAUUCUCUUCUCCAGCAUUUUCAACACACUUUUGAAUUUUGCCUCUCCACUCUAAUAUGUAGCAAUUAGAUUUUACUUUAUGCAAUCUUGAGACAGACACUUUUGUUUUUAGAAACUUAAAACACUAGUUCAUAGAGGUUUCAGCAUCCAAGAGAGAAAACCUCAAUAAUCCCAGGAAAUACUAAUCCAUUUUCUCAUUUCUCUGUUCACAACACUGCUCCUGUGUCAUUGGUAUCCAUUCAAUACGUAAAAGUCUCAUAGGAUCAUAGAAUAUUAGAUUUAAAACCUCUUUUUCUAACUCCUUUGUUUCCUUGAUCUGGCAGAUGAGAUAAUUUGCUGCCAACUAGAUGACAUAGAUUUUAAUAUCUAUUCUACCACUGACUUCUGGCCAUCUUUCAUGUGACAUCCUAUAUUUGACUUAUGUUCUCAUAAAGGUAAAUUGUGAGGGAAAAGGAAAAAAAUGAAAACAUUUAUUAAGCACUUACAUUGCAAAGAACUUUAUUAAAUAUGAGCCUACAAAGAGAAAAAUAAAACAAUUUUUGCUCACAGGAUCACAUUCUAAUGAAGAAAACUGCAUAUUUAUAUGUAUUAUGCAUGUAUGUAUAUGUAUAUAGUUUCAGCUAAAAAUAAAACAAAUGAUCUUGAAGGAUAUAAAUGGAACAUUACUCUAACAUCAGUUCCAAUGAUAAAAUUGUCAUUUUUCUGAUAUUGAAUUCUUCAAUAGUGAUAAGAAUUGUGGUGGUAAUGUAAUGCCAGAGAAACUGAGGCAGGAGAGAGAUUAGAGAGUUUUUAAUAUUUUAUUAAUGGGAGAGUAAGAAUGACUGGACAGGACUCUCGUCUCAAAUUAUCCAGUCAGACAGAGAUAAAGAUAUACUGGGACCAAGGAAUCUAUGUUGGUCCCAGGGCUGGAGGAAACUGUCAUCCCAAAGAAUCCAGCGUCCCGCAUCCAACCGCCAGCCUCCAGCCAUGAAUGGAGGAACCCCAACUUCUUAAAUACCUUUUCACUAAACAAAGAAAGGGAUAAGAAGCUGUCAGGAUGGGGGAGGCCAUAAAUCCUAAAAAACAACCCAGAGACAGGAUGUCUGAAUACACAGAUAUCUUGGAAUAUUUUAGAGGGAUAUUGUAAAUUCUUGAGGACAGAAAAGAGUCAGGAGGUCUACUCUCUUGUUUAUCUUGCUUGGGCUAACAAUUUAUAACCUUAGUCUUAAGGGAGAUUUACAGCUUAGGGGAUUGACACAGAACAGUUAAAGAAACUGAGACAAGGGAAACUGAGUCAGGACAGUUAAAGAGAACUGUGGCAUAACAUUAAAAGCCUUCUUUUCAAAGUUUUUGGUAACUGUAGCUAUGGUACCUGUAGAAGCAGUUACCAGACUGCAUUUCCAUAGGAGUUGCUUCAAGGAAUGAUGAUUGCAAACACUAGAAAAGGCAUUGCUAUUUCAAAGCUGUUCUCCCUUACAGUUCUGAGCUAUCUCCCUCAGGGUCUGAGAGAUGGUAGCUAAAGUGUGGUAAUGAUAAUCAUGGUUUGACUUAACUGGCACAAGCUAGUCUCUCCCUCUCCUAAAUUGCCUACCACGUGAGAGGCAUUUUGUUUGCAUUUGGCGGAGAUAACUGGACCCUUCUCUAUAGGAGUUGCUUCCCCAGAUGAGGGCUAAUGGUGGAUGGAUUGAAAGCAAUAUUUACUGUUUCAGGGGGUACAACUAUUCCUAGAACUCUAUGCUUAUCUGCCAUUUGGUAGCAGUUGGUCAAUAAUUGUUGAUGGUAGUGGUAAGGAAGUUAGGUCCCUUCUCCAAAAUGAUUUCUCCUCUAAGUGAUUGUGGAGACAGGACUGAAAGCAGAUCUGGUACUUUGAAGAGGGGAAUGAGUACUACUUUUUCAAAGGUUUCUUAGGUUCAGUGUUAUGACCUGCCUCCAGUCAAGUCUGAGGGAGAGGAGAUGAUUGUCAAGGUGGUGGCAGUUACCCAUUUAAGAGGUCUCUCCAGUUCUUUCACUUGCUUAUAUUCCCUUUUAAUAAAUGUUCUUCAGAAAAAUGAUGCUUGAGAAUAAAAUGCCAAACUCUGAAACCUUGUUGUAACAUCCCCCACUAAGCAACUAGUUAGCAUAAAAUCUAGUCAUUUUACCUGAGUAUCAUCAUGCAUUUCAUUUUUGUAUAUAGCAAAGUACACAAAUCCUACAUGAUAUCUAAGAAUAAGGAAAGUGUUUUAUUCAUGAAAAACAUUUGAUAGUUAUACAAUAAUAAGUUCCAGGAAGAGAUGUCUUUGUCUUUUCAGUUGUAACACCCAUCUAUCAAUAGUAUUUCUUCUGCUAUAAGAAUUACCUACCAAAAAUACCAGCUCUUUUUGUAAUGGCAAAGAAUUGGAAAAUGAAUAGAUGUCCAUCAAUUGGGGAACAAAUUAUGGUAUAUGAAAAUAAAAGAAUAUUAGUUCUAUAAAAAAUGAUGAACAGACUGAUUUUAGAAAGGCCUGGAAAGAUUUACAUGAAUCUUUCAAGAAGAACCCAGGGAAACAUUGUACACAGCAAGAUUGUACAAUGAUCAACUAUGACAGACUUGAUUAUUCUCAGCUGCUCAGUGAUCUAGGACAAUUCCAAUCAAAUCUGAAUAAAAAAUACCAUCGGCAUCCAGAGAGAAAACUGUGGAGACUGAAUGUAAAUCAACACAUGCUAUGUUCACUUUUUUUUCCUUUUCUUCUGUGUUUUUUCUCUAGUUGUUUUUCCCUUUUGUUCAAUUUUUCUCUCCCAAUAUGAUUCAUAAAUAUGUUUUUUUCUUAAAGAAUGUACAUGUUUUACCAAAAUAUGUUGUUUUUUACAUGUAACUGGGAAAAAUAAAUAUUUUUAAUUAAAAAAAA